GAAACACUAAAACUGACAAUAUUUUCCCCGCUUUCAGGUCUGAGACUUCCAUGGAACUAUUGCACUUUAAUAAAGUUUUAAGGAACUUUCUUGUGAACUAUUUUUCACUAGCUGACUGUGUAAACAUGAAGCUUGGUCAAACACCAUACUUAAGAAUUUUGGAAGAUGAGUGAGAAGUGCCCCCUAGAAGUCACAAGAACAGAGCACAAACUGGAAGAUAGGAAGUGGUUUCCAUAGAACUGCGCUGCCUGUGGAUUUCCAUUGUCCUUGCUGAUAAGUGAACAGACUCCCAAACAGGUGGAAGCCAGAGAAGCUGAGCAACUUGUCAUCUCUGAUCACUGAAAGCUUCUUAUUCCUCAUGGUUUGCAAAUUGUGUAACCCUGAAGUCAAUGGACACAGUCCCCAAGUUAAUGAUUGUGCUCACUUGUGUGUGCACAAGAACAUUAGCUAGAUAUGCUUCCUCACACUCUCUUGAGUACUGUGGAAAGAGCC